rnacentral:rRNA from 1 species
AUUAAAAAUUAAUUUACUUUAAAAUUUCAAGGUUCUUUAAGAGAAUUUUCUUUAUCUUUAGUAGUUUAUAGAAAAAGUUAUUUUUGUAAUAGUUUAUUAGUACUGUAAAGUAAUGUUGAAAUAUUUUGAAAAAUUAUUUUUUUAAAAGCAUACUGUUUGUAGUACCUUUUGUAUCAGGGAUGAUUAAUUUUGUUUAAUUUAUAUUAAAU